UUUGGAUGAAAUUAGUAUAACUAGUGCUUCAUGCAUGUGUAUAACUGUCACGUAUAUGUGAGUGAAAUAAAACGCAUGUGAAUGAUUUUUCCAUCCUUCGCAGAAGGUUUGGAACUUAAACUGAUAUUAUGCUAUUCGACUACAGCUUGACGUAUAAAGCGAGAUCAUGAAAUCACACAACUUCUUUGUCUUCUUAGAGCAUUAUUUAAUUUUUUGGGCUAAAUUUUCGAGAGUAGAGUCGUUUGUAUGUCAGCACUACUUUUAAUUUUAAACCUCCUUGUAAAGUAUUUAAAUAACUAAAACAGAUAUUAAAAACACGGAAGUAGGAUCAAACCUCUCUAAAA
rnacentral:misc_RNA from 1 species